ACGAACGCUGGCGGCGUGCCUAAUACAUGCAAGUCGAGCGGACGGAUGGGAGCUUGCUCCCUGAAGUCAGCGGCGGACGGGUGAGUAACACGUGGGCAACCUGCCUGUAAGACUGGGAUAACUUCGGGAAACCGGAGCUAAUACCGGAUAAUGCACAGCCUCUCAUGAGGUUAUGCUGAAAGAUGGUUUCGGCUAUCACUUACAGAUGGGCCCGCGGCGCAUUAGCUAGUUGGUGAGGUAACGGCUCACCAAGGCAACGAUGCGUAGCCGACCUGAGAGGGUGAUCGGCCACACUGGGACUGAGACACGGCCCAGACUCCUACGGGAGGCAGCAGUAGGGAAUCUUCCGCAAUGGACGAAAGUCUGACGGAGCAACGCCGCGUGAGUGAUGAAGGUUUUCGGAUCGUAAAACUCUGUUGUCAGGGAAGAACAAGUGCCGGAGUAACUGCCGGCACCUUGACGGUACCUGACCAGAAAGCCACGGCUAACUACGUGCCAGCAGCCGCGGUAAUACGUAGGUGGCAAGCGUUGUCCGGAAUUAUUGGGCGUAAAGCGCGCGCAGGCGGUCUCUUAAGUCUGAUGUGAAAGCCCACGGCUCAACCGUGGAGGGUCAUUGGAAACUGGGGGACUUGAGUGCAGAAGAGGAAAGUGGAAUUCCACGUGUAGCGGUGAAAUGCGUAGAGAUGUGGAGGAACACCAGUGGCGAAGGCGACUUUCUGGUCUGUAACUGACGCUGAGGCGCGAAAGCGUGGGGAGCAAACAGGAUUAGAUACCCUGGUAGUCCACGCCGUAAACGAUGAGUGCUAAGUGUUAGAGGGUUUCCGCCCUUUAGUGCUGCAGCAAACGCAUUAAGC
rnacentral:rRNA from 1 species